UCUGGAAACACAAUUACAAGUAACGGAACAUUACUUCAUUAUCAUGAUCAGCAGUAAUCCUGGUUAAUCCACUGCUGGAUGAAAGCAGAGCCAAGCCGCUGAGAAAGAUAAAAACUAAAGUACCAUGUAUACAUUUGUGCGUGUACUGUGUAUGCUGUGGUUAGGUAUAGUACUCUCCAUAUAACGCAACCUGGAUUUAACACGCAGGCUUCCGCGACAUAUGAUUCUUAAAUGAUAUUUGGUUCAGAUCGUGUGCCAUUCACCCUCCACCCAAUAUAGCCAAUUAAAUACAUUUGUCACAGGAAUAAACGUGCCAAUUAGCUUCAGCACCACCAGUAUGCUGUCGACCAAAACACCCCAUGUAACACUACAAAAAUAGGCUACAACUUGUUAAACCCGAGUUGACAAUAAGUAACAAGUUAAAAAAGAGCGUUACAGAGGAGUUACUGUCUGAUGAAAAAAAACCACGGAGCUUGAAAUUCGAUUCCUCCACUGGCCUGCAACCAACACGGCUGUUGCCGAGCUACGAUACUCUGAAAACAGUGGCACGCACAGGAGGGUGGGGGGAUAGACGGAAACUGCUCUACCACGUGGCACUGUCGUUGCACCCACGUGCUCUCGGGGGAAGUGGAGGCUGCGGGGUUUAUUUUAUUAUUCAGGCAACUCGGUGUGGCUACAUAAUAGGGCCUGCCCAUUGGGUUUUUACUGAAUAUCAUUAAUUUUUUACAUGACAGACAUUUCGUAGGACACAGGCAAAGGGAAGGAGAAAGUUCCUUGAGCCCUCGAACAGGCGCAGAGAGCCUGCAGCACAGACGGCUGGGACGAGGGAAUUCCAGACAACAGGCGGCUAUCAGAGAAGGCAUGACCUCCCACUGAGCAGAGGUUGGGGUGGGCAGGCAGCGAUGCCUUCAGGUCGCAACAUCUCCAGGUGAGUGCCGUUGUCAUGCGAUCAAAGUUAUCCUUGGUUGCGUCUGCGCCCGCGUUCGUGUCUUAAGUGACCAGGUUCCCCAGGUGAGUUUGCGUACCGAGGAGGAGCGAGCGUUGUGCUGAUUCAGCAGGGCCUUGACGCGGGCGCCCAGCUCCGAAUGUGCCAGGGUCAGCUGCUUCACCUGGAAGCGCACGGGGUCACGUACCACGCAGCGGGUGAGGUGUAGGUGCGUUCGUGUGUAUACCAUGCGCUCCUGGAUGAACUUCUGAGCCUCCUUGAGAUUGCCAGCGAUGUUCUGCACGAGGCGCGUGCGUUCAGCCUCGCUCAGCACGGAGCCAUAAAACGUGUUCACCUGCGCAGGGCGCACACGCACGGAGGCACAAUGUACACACACAGUCGAACCAGCGCACCCCAUAACCAGCGCUCCACACACGAGCAGCUGUUGGGAUGCUAGUGUGUGUGUGCGCGUGUACAGGUUUCCCUUGCCUUGUGCGGUAGAUUCGUUCCAAAACAAGGGCGCACAAAGCCAAGCCGCACGAGACAGCUGUCUGCUAAGUAGCGCAUACAGUACACACAAUGUCCCACGUCCGAACGCUUACCCACAUACGAGUGAAUUCAAACCACAUAUAGCUAAUUUCGGGUAGAAAUUGGUUAUCCACAUAUGCACAAAUUUGCACAAACCAAACCCGCAUAAAGCGAGGGCAACCGGUACAUUCUUUUGUGUGUGGAUGCACACAGAGGAUUUUGAAUUUUUUUUAUUUUUGUGUGUGUGUUUCAAGUUCUGAAUGUGCUGACCAAAGUGUGUGCACCGGCGGUACCCUUGGUGCCUCGGCUUGCGAGGUUACGUGUGCCUACCUGCGAGUAGUUGUCAUCGUCGGCAGAGUUGUAGCGUUGCACAUCGGCACUGACGGCGAAUUUGUGCUCGCGCAGGUGUGGCUGUUGUUCGGGAGCGCUGAAGCUGUUUGGGUAGUAGUUGGGUGCACCGGCUGUAAGCAAACGCAAGACAAAAAUUUCCAUUUACGCGUCCGGUCAGGCAGCUGCAGCAACGUUCUGCUUGACAGAAUAAUCGCUCUCCCGAAUCACUUUCGGGUUGUACCACGCGUUGUUCGGCACGGUGUCCGAUGUGUCGCUCCAAGUGCUGUAAAACUCACUGCACGUGGAGCAGAGUGUCAGACAACCGGAAAACACAAGAAAGGCUACGCAGCACGACUGCGAAAACCUUACGCGGUCUGUUAAGACAGUGCCCGUAAUGGGAGGCAGACGUGAAGCCCAGGGUCCACGUCGUAUCAUUCUCCGCUGAUAAUUUCUGCUCAAUUCUCCCUGCGUGGCAAUGGUGAUGACACUGUAUCAAGCCCAGACUUUGUUUGCUAGUGAUAUGCGUGACCAAGAAUGGUGGUGCCUAGGUCACUUGGGACGUUACACAAUGAGAAACCCUUGGCAUCAUAUUAAAGGGGAGCACGAACAGAGAGGUGCACAUGCCUACACAAAAAACAUUAGACCCGUGUAAUAUAUUUGAUGUUAUAAAACAUACGAAGAACACAAAGCUGCUUCAGGAGACAGGCAACUCACCCUGGUUGUCGAACAUGCACAUGGGACCGUCACGCUGGUAGUUUCGGACGCGGGCACGGAAAGGGCAGUUCACCGGCAGGUGCAGGUAGUUAGCACCCAGACGGUGCCGGUGUGUAUCCGGGUACGAGAACAGCCUUCCCUGAAGGUGCGCACACACGCACGCACCGACACAGGUAAAUUCACCCAAAACGAUACUGUGCGUUGUCGUCGUAGUUAAUGACAUCAGCGGUUAUAGGAUGGGGAGAGGAGGGGGGCAGAGAUGGCGAGACCUGCAGCAUCUUGUCUGGGCUGGGCUCGAUGCCCGGAGGCAUGUUGGACGGGUCAAAGGCAAUCUGCUCAACUUCAGCAAAGUAGUCGGUGGGGUUGCGGUUGAGCUCCAGGCGACCCACCGGGAUCAGGGGGAACUCCCCGUGCGGCCACACCUGAGCACACGGGGCACACACAGAUCCCUCUCGCGAUCAGGACUAUGGCACAAGUCUUAACAGGAGUUACCCACGGCAGAUGAAACAGCACGUGAGACGUUAUAAGUGUUUGAUGUCGUGCAUGUUUUUAGAAGUGCAUGGUGGUGUAUGUAUGUAUAAUCUAUAUUGAAAUUAUUUUGCACCGUACAUAGUCAACCGCGCUAAUCAGAGGUGUGGGGGUAGGACAACAAACUAAACACAAAAAGCAGUUCAGCAAAGUGGUGAUAGCUAGCUGCACGUUUAAUGUUUGCAAAAGGUGAACGCUCUUGAUGACAUGCCAACACAAAUGUAAAUCUUAUCGGAUGAAA